UAGCUCAGUCGGCAAAGAGUCUGCCUGCAAUGCAGGAGACCCAGGUUCGAUUCCUGG
rnacentral:tRNA from 1 species